rnacentral:rRNA from 1 species
AUGAACGCUGAGGAGGCGUGCCAAUGGCACGCCCCAGCCACUACGAAUUCAUCCACGCCGGCCUCAUGUUCGGCCCUCCCCGACGAUGUCUAUUACGACGCGAUCAAUCCGUGGGCGAAAUCAGAGGCGCAGGACAUCGCUCCAUGUCCGUUCCUCCCUGAUGACAUCAUCGAGGACAUCUUCACGCGGCUGCCGGCAAGCUUAGCCCUCCAGUGUCGCGGCCUGUCCCGCGACUGGGCUGCCACAAUCUCCUCCGAUGCCUUCGUCGACCGUCACCUCCGAGCCGCCAACCGCCACGGCGGCCCCAGGUUCUUCCUCCUCUCGUGGACGCCAUCCCUCACCACGGCGCACGCGUGGUCACCCGGCGGCAGAAUCGCGCCGCCGCCGCCGCUCACCCGGCGCCUGCUCAUGCGCGACGGCGUCACUCAGCAGUGCCGCGGCCUCGUCGUCCUCAAGGAGCGGGCCCGCCAGCCGGUGCACUGCGUCUGCGUGUACAACUCAUCCACCGGACACAUGACGGCGCUCCCGCGGCGCCGCCUGAACCUGAUGGAGGGCCUCCACCACCGUCACCCGGCGAAGGGGCACUACGAGAGCUUUGGGCUCGGCUACGACGCGCGCAUCGAAAAGCACAAGGUGGUGCGCAUACACUACCGCGGGUACCAGCUCCCCGACCUCUGCGAGGUCUACGUGGUGGACGACGACUCCGGCGCGGGGUUCUGGCGUGCGCCGGCGGCGAUCGGCCGGCCCGACGCGACGAAACCGGCCGGCUGGGUGAGCUCGUACGAGCCGAGUGUGUUCGCGCAGGGCCACGUUCAUUGGAUGGCCCAGAAGCAGAGUCCGCGGAAGGACUCGCACUGGAGGGUGACGGGCCGGGGGCUCAUCAUCUCCUUCUCCGUCGCCGACGAGCACUUCGGGGUUGUGCCGCUGCCUCCCUGUGUGGACUACCUCGGCGAGUACCAGCUAACGGAGCUGGAGGGACGCCUGUGCCUCUUCAGCCCCAUCGUCGACAACAUCAAACGCGGGCACCGGCCAUACGACCUGUGGUCGCUGCGCGACCACGAGACGGGGACGUGGGACUUCCGCUGCCGUCGCCGGAGGUCGCUUCGUUCAUACGCUGUGGCGCCACCGGCAGCCUGCACCUUCGCGUACACGCCAGCGACCGGCCACAAUGAGCGCCUGCCCUCCGGCGGAGGCCUGAUCGCUUCCUACCACACCUACAGCAACUGCACGUGGCCGGUCACACUCUAUGAGGAAAGCCUCAUCUCUCCCGGGCGGCCACACGAGGACAUCCUCUUCUCUCCGGCGGGCACGGAGGCCCUAUGCGUGGCCCUAGCGGGCCGUGCUCCACCGCCACGGGAGCUCAUGCAUCUCAAGCUCGUCUGCCGGAGCUGGCGUGCCAUGAUCGAGAGCGAGCGUUUCGUCAAGCUGCUGCGCGCAAGCGUGUUGACAGGGGCCAAAGAGGUGCUGGCCGUGCUGCUAUACCCCGUGCUCUAUUGCGGCAUGUCCAAGUAG